CAGCCGCCGCGGUAAUACGAAGGGGGCUAGCGUUGCUCGGAAUGACUGGGCGUAAAGGGUGCGUAGGCGGUUUGGCAAGUCUUGUGUGAAAUCUUCGGGCUCAACCCGAAGCCUGCACGAGAAACUACCGGGCUUGAGUAUUGGAGAGGUGAGUGGAAUUUCCGGUGUAGCGGUGAAAUGCGUAGAUAUCGGAAGGAACACCUGUGGCGAAAGCGGCUCACUGGACAAUAACUGAUGCUGAUGCACGAAGGCUAGGGGAGCAAACAGGAUUAGAGACCCCAGUAGUCCCUGUCUCUUAUAU
rnacentral:rRNA from 1 species